rnacentral:antisense_RNA from 1 species
UUGAGAUCAUUUAUGGCAGAGCGUAAUCUCUUGCUCUGUAAACGAAAAAACCACCCUGGCAGGUGGUUUUUCGAAGGUUAGUUAAUCCUGGCAGAUUCUCUAACCGUGGUAACAGUCUUGUGCGAGACAUGUCACCAAAUCUGUCCUUCUAGUGUAGCCUCAGUCAGGCCGCCACUUCAAGAACUCUGAACACAUCUCUCGCACAAACCUGUUACCAGUGGCUGCUGCCAGUGGCGUUUUGUCGUGUCUUUCCGGGUUGGACUCAAGACGAUAGUUACCGGAUAAGGCGCAGCAGUCGGACUGAACGGGGGGUUCGUGCAUACAGUCCAGCUUGGAGCGAACUGCCUACCCGGAACUGAGUGUCAGGCGUGGAAUGAGAUAAACGCGGCCAUAACAGCGGAAUGACACCGGUAAACCGAAAGGCAGGAACAGGAGAGCGCACGAGGGAGCCACCAGGGGGAAACGCCUGGUAUCUUUAAGUCCUGUCGGGUUUCGCCACCACUGAUUUGAGCGUCAGAUUUCGUGAUGCUUGUCAGGGGGGCGGAGCCUAUGGAAA